AUUGAACGCUGGCGGCAUGCCUUACACAUGCAAGUCGAACGGUAACAGGUCUUCGGAUGCUGACGAGUGGCGAACAGGUGAGUAAUACAUCGGAACGUGCCUAGUAGUGGGGGAUAACUACUCGAAAGAGUGGCUAAUACCGCAUGAGAUCUACGGAUGAAAGCAGGGGAUCGCAAGACCUUGUGCUACUAGAGCGGCCGAUGGCAGAGUAGGUAGUUGGUGGGAUAAAAGCUUACCAAGCCGACGAUCUGUAGCUGGUCUGAGAGGACGAUCAGCCACACUGGGACUGAGACACGGCCCAGACUCCUACGGGAGGCAGCAGUGGGGAAGUUUGGACAAUGGGCGCAAGCCUGAUCCAGCAAUGCCGCGUGCAGGAUGAAGGCCUUCGGGUUGUAAACUGCUUUUGUACGGAACGAAAAGCCCCGGGUUAAUACCCUGGGGUCAUGACGGUACCGUAAGAAUAAGCACCGGCUAACUACGUGCCAGCCGCCGCCGUAA
rnacentral:rRNA from 1 species